AGAGACUGAUCAAUAAGAAUAAAAAUUGACUAAAUAAUUCUUUCGCUCAAAAUCUUGUAUCAUAACCACACUAAUUUAAUGAAGUCAACUUCAUAACUAUAUGCUGAUCCAAUUUGUUUGACUAUAUAAUAAAAUUUUCAGCAUCAAUCAACCAUAUGAACAUUUAACAAGUUUCAAACAUAACUGAAUAGUGAAAAAUUAUCCAAGAUUUAAUUGUUAUUGUUGUUGUGUAUAUUUUACUUAAUUAUAUAUAAUUUUUAUAUAUAAUAUUUAAGGAAAAUUCAUUUUUUAGUCUAUGUUAG
rnacentral:misc_RNA from 1 species